AUUGAACGCUGGCGGCAGGCCUAACACAUGCAAGUCGAGCGAGCGGCGGACGGGUGAGUAAUGUAUGGGGACUGCCCGAUGGAGGGGGAUAACUACUGGAAACGGUGGCUAAUACCGCAUACUAUCGGAUAACCCAUAUGGGAUUAGCUAGUAGGUGGGGUAAAGGCUCACCUAGGCGACGCUCUCUAGCUGGUCUGAGAGGAGGAUCAGUCACACGGGGACUGAGACACGGUCCAGACUCCUACGGAGGCAGCAGUGGGGAAUAUUGCACAAUGGGCGCAAGCCUGAUGCAGCCAUGCCGCGUGUAUGAAGAAGGCCUUCGGGUUGUAAAGUACUUUCAGUCGGGAGGCGUUACCGACAGAAGAAGCACCGGCUAACUCCGUGCCAGCAGCCGCGGUAAUAC
rnacentral:rRNA from 1 species